AACGAACGCUGGCGGCAUGCCUAACACAUGCAAGUCGAACGAGACCUUCGGGUCUAGUGGCGCACGGGUGCGUAACGCGUGGGAAUCUGCCCUUGGGUUCGGAAUAACAGUUGGAAACGGCUGCUAAUACCGGAUGAUGACGUAAGUCCAAAGAUUUAUCGCCCAAGGAUGAGCCCGCGUAGGAUUAGCUAGUUGGUGAGGUAAAGGCUCACCAAGGCGACGAUCCUUAGCUGGUCUGAGAGGAUGAUCAGCCACACUGGGACUGAGACACGGCCCAGACUCCUACGGGAGGCAGCAGUGGGGAAUAUUGGACAAUGGGCGAAAGCCUGAUCCAGCAAUGCCGCGUGAGUGAUGAAGGCCUUAGGGUUGUAAAGCUCUUUUACCCGGGAUGAUAAUGACAGUACCGGGAGAAUAAGCUCCGGCUAACUCCGUG
rnacentral:rRNA from 1 species